AGGGUUCGAUUCUGGCUCAGGAUGAACGCUAGCUACAGGCUUAACACAUGCAAGUCGAGGGGCAGCAUUGGAGUAGCAAUACUCAGAUGGCGACCGGCGCACGGGUGAGUAACACGUAUCCAACCUGCCGCUUACUCGGGGAUAGCCUUUCGAAAGAAAGAUUAAUACCCGAUGGUAUAAGGAGUUCGCAUGUUCUCUUUAUUAAAGAAUUUCGGUAAGCGAUGGGGAUGCGUUCCAUUAGAUAGUUGGCGGGGUAACGGCCCACCAAGUCUACGAUGGAUAGGGGUUCUGAGAGGAAGGUCCCCCACAUUGGAACUGAGACACGGUCCAAACUCCUACGGGAGGCAGCAGUGAGGAAUAUUGGUCAAUGGACGAGAGUCUGAACCAGCCAAAAGUAGCGUGAAGGAUGACUGCCCUAUGGGUUGUAAACUUCUUUUAUAAGGGAAUAAAGUGAGGGACGUGUCCCUUUUUGUAUGUACCUUAUGAAUAAGGAUCGGCUAACUCCGUGCCAGCCGCCGC
rnacentral:rRNA from 1 species